rnacentral:rRNA from 1 species
UAGGGAAUCUUCGGCAAUGGGGGCAACCCUGACCGAGCAACGCCGCGUGAGUGAAGAAGGUUUUCGGAUCGUAAAGCUCUGUUGUAAGUCAAGAACGAGUGUGAGAGUGGAAAGUUCACACUGUGACGGUAGCUUACCAGAAAGGGACGGCUAACUACGUGCCAGCAGCCGCGGUAAUACGUAGGUCCCGAGCGUUGUCCGGAUUUAUUGGGCGUAAAGCGAGCGCAGGCGGUUUGAUAAGUCUGAAGUUAAAGGCUGUGGCUCAACCAUAGUUCGCUUUGGAAACUGUCAAACUUGAGUGCAGAAGGGGAGAGUGGAAUUCCAUGUGUAGCGGUGAAAUGCGUAGAUAUAUGGAGGAACACCGGUGGCGAAAGCGGCUCUCUGGUCUGUAACUGACGCUGAGGCUCGAAAGCGUGGGGAGCGAACAGGANUAGAUACCCUGGUAGUCCACGCCGUNNNGAUGAGUGCUAGGUGUUGGAUCCUUUCCGGGAUUCAGUGCCGCAGCUAACGCAUUAAGCACUCCGCCUGGGGAGUACGACCGCAAGGCU